GACGAACGCUGGCGGCGUGCUUAACACAUGCAAGUCGAACGGAAAGGCCCUGCUUUUGUGGGGUGCUCGAGUGGCGAACGGGUGAGUAACACGUGAGUAACCUGCCCUUGACUUUGGGAUAACUUCAGGAAACUGGGGCUAAUACCGGAUAGGAGCUCCUGCUGCAUGGUGGGGGUUGGAAAGUUUCGGCGGUUGGGGAUGGACUCGCGGCUUAUCAGCUUGUUGGUGGGGUAGUGGCUUACCAAGGCUUUGACGGGUAGCCGGCCUGAGAGGGUGACCGGCCACAUUGGGACUGAGAUACGGCCCAGACUCCUACGGGGGGCAGCAGGGGGGAAUAUUGCACAAUGGGCGGAAGCCUGAUGCAGCAACGCCGCGUGCGGGAUGACGGCCUUCGGGUUGUAAACCGCUUUCGCCUGUGACGAAGCGUGAGUGACGGUAAUGGGUAAAGAAGCACCGGCUAACUACGUG
rnacentral:rRNA from 1 species